CCUGAUGGCUGCUGUUGCUCAGGGUGCCUGUCCCAGAGCGGCUAGAGGGCCUUACAGUGGAGGCUCACGGGAAGGUCCAGGCUGAAGUCCCUGUUCUCACAUGAGGGUGACCGUUGGAAUAAGCUGGGGUGUCCACAAUGCUGGCUGGGCCUGCAGGAGAGCCUGAUCCUCGGCGUGGCUGUAUGGGGCGGCUUGGGGCGCUCAGCCUCGGACCUGGGCCUCCCUUCCCUCCUGUUGUACACACUUGGAGCUCAGGCGGGGUGGGGCAAGGCUGGCUGUCAGCGCCCCGUCCCGCCCACAGCAGCCAGGCGCUCAGCCGCCACCUUCCUGCCUCUGCCUGAGCCGGCGGCUCAGGGGUCCUGGAGUUGGAUCUGUCCAGGGUGGCCACGGAGCCAAGGACCCACAGUCCCCAGGGCAUCUUGGGACCCAUCCUCCCCUGGGCCACCUCCGGGCCCUGCCCUUCCUCCAGCAGCCCGUGUUGGGCUGAAGUGGCUUGGAGGCCCGGCCUGGGCCCUGGGUGUCAUGUGGAAGGGAGCAGGGUCGUGGUUGGGCCUCUGGCUCCGGGGCUCAGGGAAGCGCUCGGGUGCCGGCUGUCCCCCUGGUGGGCUGCCGUGUGGCCAGCUCUCGUGUCCCCUGUCGUCUCUGGGUGAAUCUCAGCAGCAGCCUGGGGGCCGGGGCCCCCGCACCUCUGCUGCAUUAGUGAAGCAGCUCACGGACCGCAGUCUCGGCUGCUGAAGCUGAGCAGUCGGGCGGUGUCCAGCGGCCCAGUGUCCACCACCCGUGCCCUGCUGCCCUGGCAGCCGCAAGUGUGCCUCUGUCCCUGCGGUGGCGGGCACUGCCUUCCUGGGCGUCUGUAAAUGGGGCCACACGUGGCCUCCCGCAUCCACCCCUGCCGGCAGCGAUCCGUACACAGUACCCUGCUGGAGCUGCGUGGCCCAGCGGCCAGCCUGCUUAUGUGUGUUGUGUGCACCGCUGCCGUGAACACGCAUGCAAAAUGGCGUGGUGAUUGUUGUACUGCUGGGGAUUGAACCCUGGACUUUGGCCCUGAGCCACUCCCUCAGCCCUUUUUAAAUUCCCAGACAGGUGUCACUAGGUGGCCUGGCUGGGCUUGAACUUGUGACCCUCCUGCCUCAGCCUCCCAGAUGCUGGGCUGACAGGCGCGUGGCACCACGCCCAGCCAACGUGAAUGAAAACUUCAGAAGGCCUAUAAUUAAAAGCGUAACCACGUAACAGUUGGUUAUUUGGUUUGCUUUUUGGGUUUCUGAGAUGGGGUCAGUGGGCCUGCUUCAGCCUCCCAGAGUGUCGGGGGCCCCCGCUUACAAUGAUGUUUUGAUAGUACGAGGUCCCUGGUCUCCAUCCCGCACCGCGGUCCUUGCGCCCUGUCCCUGUGUCCUCAGGAAGGGCAGGGGGGCCGCAGGCUGAGUCACUGCUUGGGUGACACGUGCCCUGCGGGCCUCAAGGUUGGACCUGCGGAGGGAGCCGUGCUGAGCUCAUGGG
rnacentral:lncRNA from 1 species